rnacentral:rRNA from 1 species
UACGUAGGGGGCAGCGUUGUCCGGAAUCCAUUGGGCGUAAAGAGCGUGUAGGCGGCUUGGUAAGUCCGCUGUGAAAGUCCAGGGCUCAACCCUGGAAUGCCGGUGGAAACUGUCAAGCUUGAGUCCGGAAGAGGCGAGUGGAAUUCCUGGUGUAGCGGUGAAAUGCGCAGAUAUCAGGAGGAACACCAAUGGCGAAGGCAGCUCGCUGGGACGGUACUGACGCUGAGACGCGAAAGCGUGGGGAGCAAACAGG